rnacentral:rRNA from 1 species
AUUGAACGCUGGCGGCAGGCCUAACACAUGCAAGUCGAACGGUAACAGGAAGCAGCUUGCUGCUUUGCUGACGAGUGGCGGACGGGUGAGUAAUGUCUGGGAAACUGCCCGAUGGAGGGGGAUAACUACUGGAAACGGUAGCUAAUACCGCAUAACGUCGCAAGACCAAAGAGGGGGACCUUAGGGCCUCUUGCCAUCGGAUGUGCCCAGAUGGGAUUAGCUAGUAGGUGGGGUAACGGCUCACCUAGGCGACGAUCCCUAGCUGGUCUGAGAGGAUGACCAGCCACACGGGAACUGAGACACGGUCCAGACUCCUACGGGAGGCAGCAGUGGGGAAUAGUGCACAGUGGGCGCAAGCCUGAUGCAGCCAUGCCGCGUGUAUGAAGAAGGCCUUCGGGUUGUAAAGUACUUUCAGCGGGGAGGAAGGGAGUAAAGUUAAUACCUUUGCUCAUUGACGUUACCCGCAGAAGAAGCACCGGCUAACUCCGUG